rnacentral:rRNA from 1 species
UCUAAGCCAUGCGAGUCAUUGUAGCAAUACAAGGCAGACGGCUCAGUAACGCGUAGUCAAUCUACCCUAUGGACGGGAAUAACCUCGGGAAACUGAGAAUAAUGCCCGAUAGAACAUUAUGCCUGGAAUGGUUUAUGUUUCAAAUGAUUUAUCGCCAUAGGAUGGGACUGCGGCCUAUCAGUUUGUUGGUGAGGUAAUGGCCCACCAAGACUAUUACAGGUACGGGCUCUGAGAGGAGUAGCCCGGAGAUGGGUACUGAGACACGGACCCAGGCCCUAUGGGGCGCAGCAGGCGAGAAAACUUUGCAAUGUGCGAAAGCACGACAAGGUUAAUCCGAGUGGUUUCUGCUAAAGAAACCUUUUGUCAGUCCUAGAAACACUAACGAAUAAGGGGUGGGCAAGUUCUGGUGUCAGCCGCCGCGGUAAAACCAGCACCUCAAGUGGUCAGGAUGAUUAUUGGGCCUAAAGCAUCCGUAGCUCGUUUUGUAAGUUUUCGGUUAAAUCCAUGCGCUUAACGUAUGGGCUGCCGGGAAUACUGCAUAACUAGGAAGUGGGAGAGGUAGACGGUACUCGGUAGGAAGGGGUAAAAUCCUUUGAUCUAUUGAUGACCACCUGUGGCGAAGGCGGUCUACCAGAACACGUUCGACGGUGAGGGAUGAAAGCUGGGGGAGCAAACCGGAUUAGAUACCCGGGUAGUCCCAGCUGUAAACUAUGCAAACUCAGUGAUGCAUUGGCUUGUGGCCAAUGCAGUGCUGCAGGGAAGCCGUUAAGUUUGCCGCCUGGGAAGUACGUACGCAAGUAUGAAACUUAAAGGAAUUGGCGGGGGAGCACCACAAGGGGUGAAGCCUGCGGUUCAAUUGGAGUCAACGCCCAGAAAUCUUACCCGGAGAGACAGCAGAWUGAAGGUCAAGCUGAAGACUUUACCAGACAAGCUGAGAGGAGGUGCAUGGCCA